GACGAACGCUGGCGGCGUGCUUAACACAUGCAAGUCGAACGGAGUGGCGAAAGGGGGAGUAACACGUGGGUGACCUGCCCUGCACUUCGGGAUAAGCCUGGGAAACUGGGUCUAAUACCGGAUAGUGUGUGAUGGGGUCGCGGGCGAUCAGCUUGUUGGUGGGGGGAUGGUCUACCAAGGCGGCGACGUGUAGCCGGCCUGAGAGGGUGGACGGCAUCAUUGGGACUGAGGCAGGGCCCAGACUCCUACGUGAGGCAGCAGUGGGGAAUAUUGCACAAUGGUCGGAAGCCUGAUGAAGCGACGUCGCGUGUGGGAAUACGGCCUUCGUGUUGUAAACUCCUUUCGCCAUCUACGCGGUAGAUGGAGAAGAAGCACCGGCUAACUACGUGCCAGCCGCCGCGGUAAUAC
rnacentral:rRNA from 1 species